rnacentral:lncRNA from 1 species
AGUAGGUUCUGUCUUCCUUUUUGAAUACAUAUCUUGCCCCAAGCACUUCUCCUCCCUGGUUUAGAAAGCUGUCUUAGGAAAGGAAAAAAAGAGUAUUGGAAAGAUGGCAUAUAGCUGCAGACAAACUAAUUGCAGUCUUCUAUGAGCAUUACAUUGUAUUAUAUACAAUUAACGCCAACCUUCCUCACACUGCCUAAGGAUAGAAAGCAAACGAUUGGAAGUGUUAAAAAAGGCAAUUAAACCUUUGCACGAGUGAUACUAAGAAAAUUCCAGCUCUUCUCUCAUUGCCUGAGAAUUGCAGUUAGAAAAUACAAAUGUGAAUACCACUUAGCCGCACUGCUAAUCAGCCCCAUUAACGUGGUACACUCACUUUUGCAUUGAGAGUAAGGAAUCGGGAGAUCCAAUUGCUUUGAACUACUGAACAAUGUAUUACUGGCCAGUGUAGUAACAUUAAACAUCAUCGCUUCAGUUUGAAUCUCUUUUCCCCUGUGGAGUUGUAUUUUGGAUGGUGUUGCAUGAAAAUCCCAAAGACUGGAUGGUGAAAAGUAUUUCCUAAAUAUCAGUUUUCUGUCUCACUUCCUCCUGCUGUAUGUUACGCAAUAGCGCCUUUAUAUGCUGUCUCCCAUUGCUAGGGCGAUGACAAGACAGUCCAGGGCAAAGGACGCAAAAGGGCUGCUCCAAGGGGUAGGGCUAGAGGUUCAACAACAGCGGCUAAAAGGGGAAGAAAAUCAGAUAGCACUCCGUCGUAUAUGCUGUUUCCCAUUGCUAGGGCGAUGAGAAGACAGUCCAGGGCAAAGGACGCAAAAGGGCUGCUCCCAGGGGAAGGGGUAGAGGUUCAACAACAGCGGCUAAAAGGGGAA